GGCUGGGUGGCAGAAUAUCUAUGCAGUGGUUUGCAACACCGCUUAUGUUGGUUCAAAUCCAACCCCAGCCUCCA
rnacentral:tRNA from 1 species